rnacentral:misc_RNA from 1 species
CUGAACGCCUCUAAGUCAGAAUCCAUGCCAGAACGCGGUGAUACCACCCGCACGUAUAGAUGGACAAGAAUAGGCUUCGGCUUAGCGUCUUAGCAGGCGAUUCUUCCACGGCGCUCGAAGCGCGUCGUGGUAUUUCGCGUAUUGUAAUUUCAACACGAGCGGGGUCAAAUCCUUUGCAGACGACUUAGCUGUGCGAAACGGUCCUGUAAGCAGUAGAGUAGCCUUGUUGUUACGAUCUGCUGAGGGUAAGCCGUCCUUCGCCUCGAUUUCCCCAAUGGGUUCUCCGGAUUUCUGGAGACUUGUAGGGGUUGGUGGGCUUUUGAUGUGUCGUCUCCGGACGGGCGGUGCAGGGUAGUCGGGUUAGACUUGGUGGAAUUCCUCUGAGUCUUUCUGGCAUGCUUUUGUGCGACUGUGUGUUGGACGGUGCAGGGUAGGUAGCGCAGACUUGGUCGAUUCUCGAAUCGGUCUGUUGAUGAUAUGUGUGAUGUGACAGGUCUAGGGUAGGCUGAUUUGUCUUGGGCGAAUUUGAUGUCAGCUCCUGUGCAGAUCAGAGUGCAGGGUAGGUACAGGGUAGGCAGCUUAGUAUUUGUCGAUCUGGAGGACGAUUCUCUGACCUUGCGGUCUAGGGUAGGUCACUUUUGUCUGCCAGGCCGUGAGUAUGGCAGGCUGGGAGGUCUAGGGUAAGGGGAACUUCAGUUUGGCCGCUCAGAGCUUGAAGUAGGUACAGGGUAGCUUUAGGGUAGGUAAAUCUCUCCCAGGCGGGUAGUUGCCUAUACGUGCAAGAUGGUUUUGCGGUUUGGUGGCCGUGAGUCGAUUUUUUUGUUUUGCCAUACUAUUGAUUUUUGCGGAAAUUCAAAAGUGGCCCCCGAGUCCUGUCUGGCGUGCGUCCAACUCGAACAUCGUCGGUCGACAUAUAAGAGGGAGUAUCCGGCCCGGCCGGGGCCCACGGAUAAUUGCAGGGUAGGUAAAAGUAAAAAAGUUGUUAAGAGGCGCGGUGUCGGCGUGCUUGUAUGUGUGAGAGAGAGUUGUCUGAAGGUGCAGGGUAGCCAGGGCAGACUUGGACAGAUCUGGUCCUGGGAUAGGUCUGGGCCUGGAUUUUGGUAGGGUGUAGGGUAGGCGUGGAUGGAUAGUCAGUCUAGGGUAGGUACAGGGUAGAUAGAAGCUUGGUAUAUAGUAUGGGAGGGUAUAGGGUAGGCCUGGAUAGCGUUUUCUAUUUCACUCUUCCUUUUACCCAAGGCGGGAUGCUCUUGGCUGGGAUUGAGGUAUAGGGUAGGCUGGAUUUACUGUUAUGUAAGCUGUGUAUGCUCUAGGGUAGCUGAAAAUCCCAUACAUAUCUGACCACAUUUUGGUGGAGAGGUGGUCUGGCUGGUGAGAUAGACAAAAGUGCUAUGUAGAACUGUAUGUGAUUUUGGAAAAGUGAGUGUGAAAUUGGAAAGUCGGGUUUCCCGUGCAGAUGAGGGUACAUUUAAGGUGUCAUGAGAUGCGCCUUUCCGAGACAAUCUUAAUGGUACCACCCAUGCGCUUGCCGGACUCCUGUGCGGCCGUCCAGGGCGGGAUAAGUAGAUCUGGGGUGGUGUAGGGUAGGUGGACGGGUCUAGGGUAGGCUUACUUGGUUGGCCAAUUCGGCUUUACUCAGAUGAUGGGUCUAGGGUAGGCCAAAGUCUGGUCUAGGGUAGGUAGCUCUCACCCUCGAAGUGGCCUACCCGGUAGCCAACUUCAAUCACCUCCCACGGCCGCCACGGACCUCGCAUGAGGAUGGGACCACCACCAUUAGAUUUGCCUUGGUCGAAAUAGUCGGUAUAUGCACUUUUGAAAAAAUGCGUGCAAAAUGGUUUUGUGGUUUGGUGGCCGUGAGUCGAUUUUUUUUGUUUUCCCAUACAAAUGAAUUUUGCGGAAAAUAAAAAGUGGCCCACGAGGCAGCUCUGGCGUGCGGCCCACUAAAACGGUCUCGGAGGGUAUAUGAGAAGGGAGCAAAUCCGGCCGAGCCUGAAAGGGCGAGGGAAAACCGGACGAGCAACCUCUCGUACCUGAUCUUGCAGACUUCCACUGCGUGUCCCUCUGUACAGCUUUGCAGGCUCCGGCCUCGGCAGCGGGGGGUUCAUAGUGGUCGUCGACCUCCACGAAACUGCACGUUCCGGCGUGACAGCGUACUGGGGUUGCCUGUGUAGAUGCAGUCCGGGCUUGCCUGGACCGCUAGCAGAUGGGCUCUGUGGAUGACUGGCCGCUGGCUAGACCUGAAACCUGAGCAACGGGAGGUAACCUCUCGCCGCGGACACCGGAAUGGUAGAAGCGGCGUGUUGCGUCCUCCUCCUGGGGCCCCCAAGCCACACCUCCCACAGCGGGCUCGGUGCGGCGGACGGGCGCCCUGGGGAAUCUAGAGGGGGAAAGCGGAUUGCCCUAGCGGUGUUGUUGGCCCUGCCGACCUCACUGCGAAAGGCGCGACUUCACCGUCGCCACCCAGUAACUUGUCUCUCCGGCGCUUCACGGCGCUGGUGGCCAACCCCGGCACACGAUAGUUACCUGGUUGAUUCUGCCAGUAGUCAUAUGCUUGUCUC